AUGGGAGAUGGAGAGCAUUUUGUUUUUAACACAGGAGAAUCAUUUCCCCCUUCCACCUGGAAGCAAGCGCUAAAUUGCUGCCUGCAGAGUUUCACCUGGGAGCUGAAUUACCCCCACUGGUUUUGUGCUGUCACCAAGGCUACAAAUGAGCCACAGGUGGGGUGGCUGGGGUCUCGCAGCGGCUCUCAUGCAGCAGGUUCUGUCUCCCCUCCCUGCAAGAAGAGGACACUGAACAAGAGCAACUCCUUCUUCUCCCCCAGCAAGCAAGGCACUCCACGGGUGGGCGGUUACUUGGUCAGCUCCCAGGAAGCUCCCAGCUCCUGCUGGUGACCAGGAACCUCGCUGGUGGGCCACGCUCCGCUUAUCCCUCGUGGUCUGGCAUGGGGAAACCGAAGCCGAAUACCCACAAAGCAAUUACUCAUUGUGCUCCAGCUGGCUGCUGAGGAAGCGUGUGCUGCUCGCGGUGGAAGUAUUGAGUUCUCCUCAAAAUACCAGCCUAACAUUUCUUUAGGUGUCAAGUCUGAGGAACCCUGCUAGCUCUUUUUCUGUUUGCUUUGUCGAAACUUACCCUUUCUUUUUUUACAAUUAUGAGCCACAGUAAAGGUUAGUUGUUGUUUUUUUUUUUUCAUUUUUAAGGCAUACUCUGUAUUUCUACUCGCAUAAUGAUACAAGUAGGCCUUUCUCUUUGAUUUCUCCCUCCUUUUAUGUUUCUCUGCUUGUGACUAACAGUCUUUUAAUCUGCAGCUUUCCCUCCGUAUAGGUUGUGCCUAUGUCACACCAUACAUAUAUGCUGUUCUCUGAACCUUCUUCAGUAUUUUUCGUUGUCACCUCUGACAUCCUUAUUUACUGCCUCCUGGUUUGGGAUGCUGUCAGUAGCUUUUUCUUGGAUUACUCAGAGAAAAUGUGGAAGCCAUCAAUACAGGACUGUUUGAAUGUGGUUUCAAAAUCUCUCUCUGUGACCAAAAAGCCAUCUAUUCUUUACAGAUGCUUGUUUGUUUGCUUUUAAUUACUGAUAGAUGAAACUGCGUGGCACUUAGCUUCAACUACAAUCUGCUGCAAUGUGAGAUGGGGGAAAGCACAUACUUCAGUUAUCUGUUUUAAUAGCGUAUAUCUGACCUUUCUUUUUUCCUGUGGAUUUUGUGCUGUUUCUGCACAUCUGUGUUCUCUGCCUUUUUAUGAUCUUGUAGUGUUUCGUGUGCUGCUGCUUUUCAUAUUUUAUUUCCCUAUAUGGAACGCCUGAAUUUGUUUUCAGUUCUCCUGGAACAGAAGUGUGUUAUCCAUACUAAUGGAGACCCGCAACAAACCUUUCCUGACAAACCAUAUUUACUGUACAUAACGUAUUUUUCAGCAGUAGAGUAGUUGUUUUGAGUUUUAAAAAAAAAAAAAUCUCAUUUUCUUAAUUAACUUUUUUUAUUGAGGGUUUAAUGCAUGUUCAUUACAGAAAUUGCAGCUCUCCUCUGACAAUUGACUGUAAAAAAUUUCUUUGUGGGGUUCCUUAUUUAUUGUGCCUUAGUGAUUUUUUUUUUUCUUCAGAUCAAAUGCGCUCAGUUUGGUAGUAAAAGGCUGGUUUUGUCUUUCUGCCCUGCAGCCCUGCGCAUUCAGCGUGGGCUCUUAGGCUGGGUUUUCCCCUCACCAUGCAGCAGCAUCAGCAGGGCUGGCUGCACUUUCUGUUCACACCUGCCUUGUCGGUGGGGCAAACACAGUGUGGCAAGCAGCUCCCCAAAUUUGGUUUGCCCAGCACUGCCUUGGCUCUAGAAGGACUAGUGAAGAGGGGCACAUUGCUUUUCUCUUUUUGCUGUAGUUAACAGCACACCUGUGCUUGGGGAAUGGGCCUGCUGGACAAACAAGCAGCUGACAUCUUCACGUGGUCAUAUCCUGAAAAGCAGCCAUGCUUCCAGCCAGGAAAAUAGAUCUGUUUGGCAUGGGACCACCACAACUCCCAAGCACCAAGAGGUCCCUUACCUAGAAGCUGCGGUGGGUUCUGGUGCAAGACUCAUGUUGCUGCUUGACGCACACAAGCCUGGGGCACCUGCGCUUAAAUAGAAGGCACAAGUACCCAUCGUCUGGGCGAGGUAUCCUCAUCUGGGUGCUCUGUUUAAAGCUGCCGUAGAAUCCCAGCGUGUUUCACCCCUCUGCUUUUUUCCCUGCCACAUGCCUUUUUGCUUGUUUUCCAUCUUAAAACGUUGUCACACAGUUGCUCUAAAUGAGCUUACAGGUUUAUGAAAUGCCAUUACAGUCCAUCUUGUCACAAUGCCAGCAUAUUGCUCCUUUUGGUGUAAAGGUUAAGAACUUUAUUUUAUUUUUAAUUGCCUGUAUUUGGCUCUCUGGAACUGUAAAUCUGCAAGUAGAAAGACCAGCAGAAAAACACUGAGAAGUAAUUAAUAACAAAUGGGCUUCUCAAAACAUAAGGAAAUGGUGUCAUUUUGAUGUUAAUAUACUGAGGAUAUGAACAAAAUGCACCAGGGAAGAAAGAAAGGCAUUAUUUUAUGCUGUUCAUUUGAGGUGCACUGGAUGUGAAUAGCAGCAUUACACUUAUCUCUUGAAGUACGAGAUUAUCUGCUCGUGUCCCAAAACUGUAGUUCCAUCAGUUGCCAGAAAUGCUUGGUGGCAGAGCGGGAAAUAGCGUGUUUAAAAAAUAAUAAUAAUAAUAAUAAAAGGGCAAAAUAGAGGAGUGUCUCCUCA
ensembl:lncRNA